rnacentral:rRNA from 1 species
UACAGAGGGGGCAAGCGUUAUUCGGAAUUACUGGGCGUAAAGCGCACGUAGGCGGCUUUGCAAGUUAGAGGUGAAAGCCCGGGGCUCAACUCCGGAAUUGCCUUUAAAACUGCAUCGCUAGAAUUGUGGAGAGGUAAGUGGAAUUCCGAGUGUAGAGGUGAAAUUCGUAGAUAUUCGGAAGAACACCAGUGGCGAAGGCGACUUACUGGACACAUAUUGACGCUGAGGUGCGAAAGCGUGGGGAGCAAACAGG